rnacentral:rRNA from 1 species
UACGUAGGGGGGCAAGCGUUGUCCGGAUUUAUUGGGCGUAAAGAGCGUGUAGGCGGCCAGGUAGGUCCGUUGUGAAAACUCGAGGCUCAACCUCGAGACGCCGAUGGAAACCAUCUGGCUAGAGUCCGGAAGAGGAGAGUGGAAUCCCGGUGUAGCGGUGAAAUGCGCAGAUAUCGGGAAGAACACCCGUGGCUAAGGCGGCUCUCUAGUACGGUACUGACGCUGAGACGCGAAAGCGUGGGGAGCGAACAGG